rnacentral:rRNA from 1 species
UACGGAGGGUGCAAGCGUUGUCCGGAAUCACUGGGCGUAAAGGGCGCGUAGGCGGCUCAUGAAGGCUGUGGUGAAAGUCCGGGGCUCAACCUCGGAUCGGCCGUGGCGACUCGUGGGCUGGAGCACUGUGGAGGCGGGUGGAAUUCCGGGUGUAGCGGUGGAAUGCGUAGAGAUCCGGAAGAACACCAGUGGCGAAGGCGGCCCGCUGGGCAGUGGCUGACGCUGAGGCGCGACAGCGUGGGGAGCAAACAGG